UACGAAGGGUGCAAGCGUUAAUCGGAAUUACUGGGCGUAAAGCGUGCGUAGGCGGCUUUUUAAGUCGGAUGUGAAAUCCCCGGGCUCAACCUGGGAAUGGCAUCCGAUACUGGGGAGCUAGAGUUUGGGAGAGGGUGGUGGAAUUCCCGGUGUAGCGGUGAAAUGCGUAGAGAUCGGGAGGAACAUCAGUGGCGAAGGCGGCCACCUGGCCUAAAACUGACGCUGAGGCACGAAAGCGUGGGGAGCAAACAGGAUUAGAAACCCGUGUAGU
rnacentral:rRNA from 1 species